UAGGUCUUCAAUGCCAAAAGUCAAGGCAAAGGGUGGGUGGGUAGAACAAUGAAUAGAGAAGCAGACUAGAAUUUAUAGGGAAUUUGUGGAAAUGGCAUCUCCAUCAGAAAGAUGAAUGGGCCCACAUCUUUUAUGCCUUCCUUAGUUCUUCCUGGUUGCCCUGCUUUACUUUUGGCAAUGACAUCACCUUACGUCAUCAUAUUCUAUGGCAGUUGUGCUCCUUGCCCCUUCCCUACCAACCAGCUGGUUACUAUAGGAACAGUAAUAAACAAUUUUGCAUCAUCCCCAUUCCAUUGCCUACUCUUUACCAGAUGCUUGUUCAGUUAGGAGUGGUGGUAGUGCUCUUUCCAGUGACAGAAAAAUACUUCCCCAGUCAGCUUAUUCACCAUGGCCGGUAGGACAUUUUGUGAUUUGGAUGUUUAAAUGGAUCUUUUCUUUCUUUAUACAACCCAGCAAUUUUCAUUAAAACACUGCAUCCCUGUAAUGCCGAUAGUGUUUAGGAUCACCAUGCCCAAGGCCUGUUCCGUGACCUUCCAUAGGACUUAGGAGGCAAUCUACAUGGAAUCAAAAUUUUCAUAAAGAAAGCAACAACUCUGAAUAGGGGGAAGAGAAGGAGAGGCACGGCUCAUCUGCAGGGAUGUCUGGAUGUUCAGACUAGAAGCCCAAGAUGCAGCCAGAAAGAAGGCUCAACCAUUCCACAGGACAACCUCUUGCCAGGGUGAGGCCACUGUGACACCUGGAGGAACCCUUCAGAGCAUGAGAAGAAGCACUCCAUCUCAGGCCUCGGACUGGUUGAUGCUUCCAAAUGCUGUCUACCAAGGAAAAGGCAAGCUCCCACCAGCCCCACUGAAGAAACAGCUCCCUCUGGCUACCCCCAUUCCAGCAAAGCCACUCCUGGUGAUGAGAUCAUUGGGAAGACCCCGGAGUUCCCUGCCAAGAAUCUCAAAGAUCUCUGCCUCCAGCUCAGGGUCUCAGACAUCAUCUCAAUUGUCAUCCAGCCCUAUGACUUUGUGUUUGGUGACAUCUGGAUCAUUUAUCAUGGCACAGGCUGCAACCUGCACCAUGAGAGAAAGCAGAAGCGAACCGGUGAGCCAGUGCCAGACAACUUUACCUCUAUUAGCUCUUCACCACAUGUGGUCUCCGCUGCUACUACCGCCAUGACAUCCUCCUUUUGGUCAUUAGCUCUCACAGCAAGGUCCUCCUAUUCUGCUGGGAGCCCUUGAGCCAGUAAAGAUGGAGGCACAAGGCAACUGUAACAACUAGAGAUAAGUCCUUCCUCGAACCAACCAACCAGGCAUUGCAGAGCAAUGUAUGUGCU
rnacentral:lncRNA from 1 species